AGUGAACGCUGGCGGUAGGCCUAAUACAUGCAAGUCGAACGGCAGCAUAGUAAGAUCGUGCCCUUACGGGUGGCGGGUGACGGACGGGUGAGGCAUACAUCAGAUACUUCUUAUUCGGGGGGGACAACGGAGAACCACUUAUGCUACUACCGCAUACGUCCUACGGCUUAAAUCAAAGGAUCUUCGGAGCUUUCCUGACUGAAUUAGCCGAUGUCGCAUUAGCUAGUUGGCGGGGUAAAGGCACACCAAGGCAACGAUCCGUAGCUGGCCUGAGAGGAUGAUCGGCCACACUGGAACUGAGACACGGUCCAGACUCCUACGGGAGGCAGCAGUAGGGAAUAUUGCACAAUGGGCGCAAGCCUGAUCCAGCCACACCGCGUGAGUGAAGAAGGCCUUCGGGUCGUAAAGCCCUUUUAUUAGGAAAGAAAAGAAGCGGAAUAAUCCCCCGAUGUUCUGACGGUACCCAAAGAGUAAGCAACGGCUAACUUCGUG
rnacentral:rRNA from 1 species